GACGAACGCUGGCGGCGUGCUUAACACAUGCAAGUCGAACGGAAAGGCCCUGCUUUUGUUCGGUGCUCGAGUGGCGAACGGGUGAGUAACACGUGAGUAACCUGCCCUUGACUUUGGGAUAACUUCAGGAAACUGGGGCUAAUACCGGAUAGGAGCUCCUGCUGCAUGGUGGUGGUUGGAAAGUUUCGGCGGUUGGGGAUGGACUCGCGGCUUAUCAGCUUGUUGGUGGGGUAGUGGCUUCCCAAGGUUUUGACGGGUCGCCGGCCUGAGAGGGUGACCGGCCACAUUGGGACUGAGAUACGGCCCAGACUCCUACGGGAGGCAACAGUGGAGAAUAUUGCACAAUGGGCGGAAGCCAGAUGCAGCAACGCCGCGUGCGGGAUGACGGCCUUCGGGUUGUAAACCGCUGUCGCCUGUGACGGAGCGUGAGUGACGGUAAUGGGUAAAGAAGCACCGGCUAACUACGUG
rnacentral:rRNA from 1 species